CGUCACCAUGGCCGCCCACUUCGGGAGCCCACCAAGCCGAGAAUACAAGAAAUGAAGAUUCUGAAAAAGAAGCUGAUGACCAAGGGAUGAUAAAGGAUAGAAAGAUGACGUGUUUGCUUGAAGAGUGAGGGGACACGGGUUCGAGCCCUGGUCCGGGAAGAUCACACAUGCCGCGGAGCAACUAAGUUCGUGUGCCACAACUAAUGAGCCUGUGCUAUAGAGCCCGCGAGCCACAACUACUGAAGCCCGUGCACCUAGAGCUCAUGCUCUGCAACAAGAGAAGCCACCGCAAUGAGAAGUCCUCGCACCGCAAUGAAGAGUAGCCCCCACUCGCCGCAACUAGAGAAAGCCCAUGCAGCAAC